GACAGAGGUGCCGAGCGUUAGGCGGAAUCACUGGGCUUAAAGCGUGUGUAGGCGGAUCUGUAAGUACCUUGUGAAAUCCCACGGCUCAACCGUGGAACUGCUUGGUAUACUGCGGGUCUUGAGCCACCUAGGGGCAAGUGGAACAAACGGUGGAGCGGUGAAAUGCGUAGAUAUCGUUUGGAACGCCAAUGGUGAAAACAGCUGGCUGGGGGUGUGCUGACGCUGAGACACGAAAGCCAGGGGAGCGAACGGG
rnacentral:rRNA from 1 species